GACCACAGGAGGAUCAAUUAGAUGCCCCGGGUGCUGAGGGUUGGCAGUGGGCCACAGUGGCAGCCCUGGUCCUCUGUCCCACUGUUCUGGGUGGCGCAGAGGGCAUGACACCACCAGGAAAGCCACUUCACUGGGUUCUCAGACACUCAGGGCACUGCAGACUCAGACUUGAAGCCUGACUGCCAGCCCAAGGUCGCGGGAGACGAUCUGGACCCCACAACCUCCAUUGUGCUGCUCCUUCUCCAAGAGCCAGCUUCCUCUUCUGGAAGGAAAUGUUGUGGUAAGUUCUAUAGGACUGAUGGACUCAACCUGAGCUUCUCCAAGUGUGGUCCCUGGACCAACAGCAACAGCAUCACCUGGAAAUUUGUUAAAAUGCAAAUUUGCAAGCAUCAGCCCAAAUUCUGAGGGUGGGACCCAACAAUUUGUAUUUUAACAAGAACUCCAGGCAAUUCUCACAUCUCUUAAGUUUGAGACCCUCUGGGCUAAACUUUUCGAUUUCUGUGGACCCACAGGAGGGGGAGAUCAUUGUGGAUGGUAGAUCCACAAGGAGAAUUGAUCCACAUUGAGGAUGGAGAUCAUGUGUGCUUAUGGGCCAUCUCCAAAGAAGGCCUUAGAAAUGGACAUUGGAGGGUGAGGAGUUGCUGGGUGCCGGGAGGCACUGAGGUGCCAGAACGGUGAUCAGGAGCAGGAAUGUUGAGGACAAAUCUGCCAAAGCCUGACCUGCUCCCACCAAUGCCCACAAGACUGGGAGAGUGAGCGCUGAAAUCAUG
rnacentral:lncRNA from 1 species